rnacentral:rRNA from 1 species
ACUACGGGCGGCAGCAGUGGGGGAUAUUGGACAAUGGGGGAAACCCUGAUCCAGCGACGCCGCGUGAGUGAAGAAGUAUUUCGGUAUGUAAAGCUCUAUCAGCAGGGAAGAAAGAAAUGACGGUACCUGAGUAAGAAGCCCCGGCUAACUACGUGCCAGCAGCCGCGGUAAUACGUAGGGGGCAAGCGUUAUCCGGAAUUACUGGGGGUAAAGGGAGCGUAGACGGUAAUGCAAGUCUGGAGUGAAAGGCGGGGGCCCAACCCCCGGACUGCUCUGGAAACUGUGUAACUGGAGUGCAGGGGAGGCAGGCGGAAUUCCUAGUGUAGCGGUGAAAUGCGUAGAUAUUAGGAGGAACACCAGUGGCGAAGGCGGCCUGCUGGACUGUAACUGACGUUGAGGCUCGAAAGCGUGGGGAGCAAACAGGAUUAGAUACCCCUGUAGUC